rnacentral:rRNA from 1 species
UACGUAGGGUGCAAGCGUUGCCCGGAUUUAUUGGGCGUAAAGGGCGCGUAGGCGGCUCGGCACGUCCGUUGUGAAAUCGCCCGGCUCAACUGGGCGGGGUCAGCGGAUACGGCCGAGCUUGAGCAAGCUAGGGGGCAAUGGAAUUCCCGGUGUAGUGGUGGAAUGCGUAGAUAUCGGGAGGAACACCGGUGGCGAAGGCGGUUCUCUGGGCCUUACCUGACGCUGAGGAGCGAAAGCGUGGGGAGCGAACAGG